UGGGGAAUAUUGGACAAUGGGCGAAAGCCUGAUCCAGCAACGCCGCGUGAGGGAUGACGGCCUUCGGGUUGUAAACCUCUUUCAGCAGGGACGAAGUGCAAGUGACGGUACCUGCAGAUGAAGCACCGGCCAACUACGUGCCAGCAGCCGCGGUAAUACGUAGGGUGCGAGCGUUGUCCGGAAUUAUUGGGCGUAAAGGGCUCGUAGGCGGUCUGUCACGUCGGGAGUGAAAACUCGGGGCUCAACCCCGAGCCUGCUUCCGAUACGGGCAGACUAGAGGUAUGCAGGGGAGAAUGGAAUUCCUGGUGUAGCGGUGAAAUGCGCAGAUAUCAGGAGGAACACCGGUGGCGAAGGCGGUUCUCUGGGCAUUACCUGACGCUGAGGAGCGAAAGUGUGGGGAGCGAAC
rnacentral:rRNA from 1 species